rnacentral:rRNA from 1 species
GACGAACGCUGGCGGCGUGCUUAACACAUGCAAGUCGAACGGAAAGGCCCUGCUUGCAGGGUACUCGAGUGGCGAACGGGUGAGUAACACGUGGGUGAUCUGCCCUGCACUUCGGGAUAAGCCUGGGAAGCUGGGUCUAAUACCGGAUAGGAGCCAUUUUUAGUGUGAUGGUUGGAAAGUUUUUUCGGUGUAGGAUGAGCUCGCGGCCUAUCAGCUUGUUGGUGGGGUAAUGGCCUACCAAGGCGGCGACGGGUAGCCGGCCUGAGAGGGUGGACGGCCACAUUGGGGCUGAGAUACGGCCCAGACUCCUACGGGAGGCAGCAGUGGGGAAUAUUGCACAAUGGGCGCAAGCCUGAUGCAGCGACGCCGCGUGGGGGAUGACGGCCUUCGGGUUGUAAACUCCUUUCGCUAGGGACGAAGCUUUUUGUGACGGUACCUAGAUAAGAAGCACCGGCUAACUACGUA